UACGAAGGGGGCUAGCGUUGUUCGGAAUCACUGGGCGUAAAGCGCGCGUAGGCGGAUUGUUAAGUCAGGGGUGAAAUGCCGAGGCUCAACCUCGGAACUGCCUUUGAUACUGGCAAUCUUGAGUCCGGGAGAGGUGAGUGGAACUCCUAGUGUAGAGGUGAAAUUCGUAGAUAUUAGGAAGAACACCAGUGGCGAAGGCGGCUCACUGGCCCGGAACUGACGCUCAGGCACGACAGCGUGGGGAUCAAACAGG
rnacentral:rRNA from 1 species